rnacentral:lncRNA from 1 species
UCCCGCUCCCUGCAUCUCUCCCUGUCUCCUCCACGAGCUGCACGGUGCGCAUCCCUCCUUCCCGCAUGCUUCUCCUCUCCCUCCCCAAAUCGCCAUGAAUCUCGCGCUGUUGGAGCCCCUCCCCUCCUUCCCCAAUCCGCCGUGGAUCUUGUGCUGCUAGAGUUCCUCCUCUCCCUUCCCUGGCUGCCAUGGAUCUCGCAGCCGCCGCCGCCGCCGCCGCCGCAUGAAGCCCCACAUCCCCAAGCUCGACGGGCUUGGCAGCCGACAACGGGCAAACCCACCACACGUCUCACAAUCCCCAAGCCCCUAUCUUCUCCUCCCCCCUCACGGCUACACUGAUGCGGUCUCCUUUUGUAGGAAGUACGUACAUGCAUCCUUGUGAGGAAGAUUGAUCGGGAUGGAGAAAUCAGGCGACGCGGAACCACACCAAGCUCCAAUACUAUCGCCUCGUGUGUUGCCUGCUCCACCUCCUUACGGAUAUGCUGCUUCUUAUCAUGUCCCAGCCGCUGGUGUCCACACUGUCCCUUGACUCUAUCUAAAGCGAGGCAGACCUUGGCUACAAGCCUCGGUCCAGCGCACGAGUGUUCGUCCUGAUUCUUCUAACUGACGAAGCUUUUGUCGAUCUUACUAUUUUCAGGUGCGACCAAUCCAAGUGUUCAUCCAUUCUGGUCUAUUUCUUUGGAUAAUUUAUGGAGGCCGUGGUUCUGGUAUUUGUAUGUAUUCGCAAAUUGUUCACAAGGCCUGGUUAGUAUCUUGGACUGCAAAAGCACAUCUCUUAGUUCUUUAAUAUGCAAUUACUUAGAUUUUAUUGUCCUAAAUGUAUGUAUCCUUAAUGCCAUGGUUUGUUACUUAUGGUUGUUGUCAAAGGAGGAAAUAAUAGGGAGGAUUGGAGAUGCACUGGGCAUGCCAUGGCAACGAAACAAAAGCUUAUUACUUCAAUUCAAUUAUGCAAGCUGAAG